GGAGCGCUAACGUCUAACGCUAACGGCGGUCGUGCCCCGCCGCUGCUGUCACCCCCGGCCGCUGCUGCCCUCCCCGCCGAGGUUCUACUGCUCUCGUUCUUGAGAAGAAGGGUGGGAGGCACUCGGUCUCUCCCCACACCUCUCGCCUGAGGCCAGGCGCCAGGUGUCGCCUGAAGCCAGACAGCCGGUUUGGGAGCGAGCCUGAGCCAUUUAUCUCAAAGCUGCAAGUUCCUGCCAUCUACAUGUGCCCAGGUCAACCAAUCAAUGGCUCAGACAGAUAAGCCAACAUGCAUCCCGCCGGAGCUGCCGAAAAUGCUGAAGGAGUUUGCCAAAGCCGCCAUUCGGGCGCAGCCGCAGGACCUCAUCCAGUGGGGGGCCGAGAGAGACCUCCAGAGGCUGCUCAGUAGAUGGAGCUUACACAACAAUCGCUGCGGGCCUGGAUUGAAGUAGCUUUGCACAGAAAACCUCUCAGCUAUGAAAUUGCUCCUUGGACAAACUUGCCUGCUUAAAACUGGGGAACCAGGACUUGAGACAGGAGUUGGAAGAUAACUAGACCUCACGGACCAUUUUCAGACUAUUUUUACUGUUUGAUGAUUCCCUGCUUAGGAGGGUUUCAGUGGGAAAGUGAGAGUGAGAGAGGCCGUUGAGAGAAAGCCAGUGAGUUGGGGAAGGGAAGAUGUCCUCAGGCUGAGGUUGUGAGUGGGUGUCCUGCGCAGAUGGUGGG
rnacentral:sRNA from 1 species